rnacentral:lncRNA from 1 species
UCACUCUUUAUAAAUCAAUCUCCUGCUGGCAGGGUUGGCACAAGUCUCUGUGAAAAGGGCCCUUGCUUUCCAGACUGCUGGGCUACUCAGUCUGCUUGCUCUGACUUUGGCUGGAUAUUCCCAGAGGACUUGAACUAUAAUACCUUUUUAUAGAACCUAAGAACACACCUAUUUCACCUCUUACCUUUCUCUCCCUCUUUUUCUAGUUCUUCCCCAGACUGGAAGUUCCCUGCAGGGAUGUGUAUCUCCUGCAUACCCCUGGAAGAAGGGCGUGUUGCCCCAGCAACCAGGGUGCCAUCACAGAUGGCCUCCAGCUUAGCCCCUUUGGGGACUGCCUGAGCUGCCGAGCUGUCUCACCCUAGAUCACACCCUCCCCAGAGCAGCCCAAAUCUAUGUAAGGCAGGGAUGCAGAAGCCCAGCCAUUUAAGCCCCAUGCAGAUGACUCCACUGGGCAGUGCUCAUUUGAGAACUCCUCACUGGUUGGAGCAAGGCUUCAUUGGACCAGCCUUGAAGUUCAACUUAUUUAACCUCCAAAUUCUCCUUCCUCCUUUCCUCUCACAGGAGCUGAGCUCCAAUAAACAUGUAACACUCCAAAUUCCAUUUAAAUGACAGCUUCAAAGAAUCCUAUCUGUGACAGGCCCUAGCCUACCUGAUAGCUUGGCAGAGUUUUAUACUCAGAACUCCACACUUUGCUCUUGAUCUGAGAACGUGAGUUUUAUAUUUAAGAAAAUACAUUUUUCCUUCAACAAAUCUUGGCUUUCAAAAAUGUCGUAUAUGGGUAUAAAAAAUAAAUUGAAUUUGAAACUCAAUGUUGACAAUUCCUUUGUUCUAGGCUGUGUCAAUCCUUUUCUUGAAGCAAUGAAUGCCACUGAUUCCAUGGGUAGGUUUCUGGCAAACUUCUAAAGGAUAUAUUGAAUGCAACCCAUUUUCCUUCCAACUUAAUCUUAGCGAAAGAUACCCCCCUGGUUGUUAUCUUUGUUUCUUCUUCUCUCACCCUCUGCCACCCCUAUCAAUCCCUGGAUCCAGAUAACUCUUUCUCUUAAACAUCUCUUGGGUCAGCACACUUCUCUCCAUAUCCAUUGCUAGCAUCAUCUGUUGCCCAGGCUUCUAUAGUAGCAUCCUGGCAAGGAUGUUCUCUCUCUUGCCACCCUAAGUUACACUGUCCUUCCAACACCUCUGUAUUAAGCAGGCGGUUGAAUAUAGGUGUGCACAGCUCAGAGGUGCAGCUGGGCAGAAAAAGAGGAACCAGUAAGUGAUUUCAGAAAGGAGGCCACUGAGGUAGGAGGAAAACCAAAGGAAUGUGGUAUUUCCAGAGCUGAAGAAGGGCAGUUUUCAAGGAGGACUGGUUAGAGGUGAAGGUGAAGUGCAGUACAGUCCAUUAUAUUUGGCAACACAGAGAUCAUGGGUGACAUUAACAGAGACAUGUCAAUGGAGUCCGGAGGGUAGAAGUAAAAUUGGAAUAAACCAUGAGAAGGAAAAGAGCAGAGGGUCUGUUUGUUUCUACUGUAUGUGAAAGAGAAAUUGAGCAGCUGGAGGGGAAUAUCGGGUGAGGGAUUUGGGGUUUUGUUUGUCUGUUUUUACCAGAAGACAUUCUAUAGCGUGUUUGUGCAUUGAUGGGGAUAAUCCAAAAAACGAGCACAAAUUGAAAAUGCAGCAAAGUGAAGGAAAUCUUUGAGAAGGCGCAGAGGUCAGGGUUCUAGAGCUCCAGAGCGUAGAUGGGCAUUUGUUGGCAAUGCUCUGCUUACUCCCUUGAAACAAGAGAAAUAGAUACAGAUUCACAGAUUAGGUGGGGAGGAAGAUAUAUAAAUCCUUAUCUGAUGGUUUCUUUUCAUCAUAAAGAGGACUUAAAAAUCACGUUUAGUUCAUAUUCAAAGAAACAUUGAGAAGAGAAACUGUAGAAGGUGUGAAAUAAUCAGUACAAAUUAGAAGAGUUAAUUUACUAAGAAAACUCAAGAGGAGUAUUGAGUGUUUUAUUCAGAUUUUUGAUCAUGAAUUUAAAGUGAAAUUGGUUAGGUUUAUUUUGUGCGUGUGUUUAUCCUUCACAAAUACUCCAGUUUUAAAAUAUGGGAGUGGAUAAACUGGAUUCCGCCAGGCAUGUUUUAUUCCAAGCAAGUGUUGACAGAAAAGAGAGGUAUAAAGGAGGAGGUGAUUAUAAAUUAUAGACUAUGUGAUCUCAAUGAAUAAGAAAAUGAGGGGACUGAUUGUGGGUAGUGAGAAUGUGGCGGAUGGUUUCGGGAUAUCAGUGAGGUGAAAGAAUCACGGGGGUGACCUGGGCCUGGGGAGGGGCUGAGGGGUGGAGAGUGGGUCUUCACAAGCAGAUUCGGCGGUGGUACUGAUUACAGUAAUAACCAGGUAGUACAUGAUAGUAAGACUACAUCAGCUAUAGUAAAGUGCAGGAAAAAGCAACCGGAGAUGAGAUGGCCAAGGAGCUGAAAAUCCCGGGUUUGGCUGCCCUCUCCUUACACACAUCUCAACAUUUCAUAGUUGUUGGUCUAUCUUUCCAACAAGUAAUGUUAUUCUCUGAAGGAUGGGACGACAUUUGUCUUGUUAUUGCUUUUUCCCUAAUGCCCAGUGUGGUACCUGACCCAUUAAAUACCCAUUCAGUAUUUACUGAGUGAACGGUUAAGUCUAUUCUUUAAAAAAUUCUAGAAGUUAUUCCUGAAUUGAGAGUUACAUCCUGGGACACUGCUGUCUCAACUCCUCAUGGACCACUUUUUGUGAGUGGCCUUGUAGGUAAUGACAUUUACUGCUGCUGUGGAUGCUGGAAGAAGUACUCCUAUUUAACUCUCCAUGGUAUUUAAUGUAGGGGGUUGCUGAGGAAGUAAUUCACCCCCUUAUGCAGUAUUCCCUUUAUUAUAGGACUCACAAGGGAAAUUUUCUAGGAUUGCAUUUCUAGGCAGUCCUGUGACUCUCAUAAGUGAACUGACAAUUUGUGAGUCUCAUAAGCGAAUAUGUUUUCCUCUUUGCCUUACACAUUGCAGCCAGAUUUGUGGCUGAGGCUUAACUUUAGCCGUUAUGCAGAAAAACAUAUCUUUUUCUUAGGAAUUAUUUUACCCUUUGCUUUAUCUGAUUAUCUCUUCUUGAUUUCUCAUCUUGGUGAUUUGUUCUCACAUUUCUUUUUCUAUUUUAGAAUUUUUCUUGACUAUUUAAUGCUAAAGUAUGUUUUCUCAAAGUUUAGCUGGAUGAAAUGUUCUCUUGACCACUUCAACUGGUGCAAGAUUCUGGUGAUCAUGUGGAAAACAAGCCUGUUAGAAACUAUAAUAGUGAAGAUUCUGAUUAGGACCAUGUAUAAAUAAUACAUGUUUCUGUGGAUUCACUGACCUAAUCUUUUUGAAUUAAGCUUAGAAUUUCUACAAUACAUAAUACUCAGCAUAUCAUCUAUUUUGGACAAUACCAGGUACAGAAUUGUUUACAAAAAGUAAACUCUUUUAUGAGCAUUUAUCAAUUAAACCAAAGACUAUUUGAGUACGUAUGUAUGUAUGUAUAUAUUUAUUUAUCUAUUUUGCUUUUUAGUGCCGCACCCGUGACAUAUGGAGAUUCCCAUGCUAGGAGUCUAAUCAGAGCUACAGGUGCCAGCCUACACCACAGCGACAGCAACAUGAGAUCCGAGCCGAGUCUGCGACCUACACUACAGCUCACGGCAACACCAGAUCCUUAACCCACUGAACGAGGCCAGGGAUCGAACCUGCAACCUCAUGGUUCCUAGUUGGAUUCGUUUCUGCUGUGCCACGACAGGAACUCCUAUUUGAGUAUGUAUUAAUUUAACUAAGAAAUUUUAUGAAUUUUUGGGCAUAUAUUUGCUUAAUCAAGUAAUUUAGGAGUGUAAAAAGAAAUCAUGUCUAAAGACUUUGGGAGCCAUCUAAGAACUGCAUAGGCAGCAGUAAAACAGAGAUCAGGAUGACAGAUACGGACAAAGGCCACUGGGAGAUGAGAAGAGUGAAUGGGGAUGAAAAGAUGAGUGAAACUCUACAGGACUAACCACAUGGGAACACUGAUUCCAAAGGUCUACAUGCUGUAUAGAAAGUGAAAGGGAAAAAUGGAGGGAACCUGUUACAGCUGUGAGCGUUGCAAUACUCCAUAUUGGAGAGUCAUUAAAUACAUUAAGUACAUUAAAUACAGUCCUGUGGGAAACUGUAUUCCAGAACGCUAACUGACAUCUAAGAGCUGCCAUCCUCAGAGAGAGCUGUGAAGCUGUAGGGCAGAGAAUGAGUACAUGUUGGCAAGGGGCCGAGACCAGACCACCAUGUCUAUUUAGCUGGGGAUAGCUGUACACUUCCUUCUCUAAGGUUUGAACACUAGACUCUCUAAGUGUUGUGUAUGAGAAGAAUGAGACUGUUAACCGUGUUCACCAUGACUUAUAUGAAUAAGCAAAUAAAAUGCAUUAAAAAUUUAUCAACAACUGUAAAAAAUAUUCCAGAAUGAUGCAAGUUAGGUGGGUACAGCUAGUUUUACGUAUUUUUGUAAGAUAGCUAAAAUCCUUUUUAGAGGGAGAAGCUAAGUAAUUCAAUAAAGAACAUGAAAAAAGGACUAUAUAAGGUCCUAUUUUCACUAUUAGAUUUUUAAAAAAAUGACUCUAGGAAUGGAAUGUUUAUUAUUAGUAUUAUUAGAACCACCGGUUAUCAUACACUGUGUACCUCUGAUAUGCUAAUGAAAUAUGCUAAACAUUUUUGUGCCUUAUUCAUUUAAUCCCCAUAGCAGUCUGACGAUAGGUACAAGCACUGUUCCCACUCAGGCAUUCAGCAAGUGUUUCCUGAGUUCCUAAUAUGUGCUGGCAACUUUUCUAGAGUGAGACAAAGACCUUGCUUUCUUGGAGCUCCCUACUAAUGGAGAUCAGUGAACAAAGGACCUAACAGAAUAUUGAUACUAAUACAUGCCAGGAGGAAUGUAAAGCUAGAACAGCGGAUGGGGAGUGGCAGGAAGUACCAUUUUAGACAGAGUCGUCUGGAAGGGAUGACAUUUGAGAAAAGACUUAUAAACAGUGAGAGAGUGAAGUAGUCUGAUAGUUUUAUAAAAGAGAUAAUGGAGUUCCCAUUGUGGUGCAGCAGAAAUGAAUCUGACUAGUAUCCAUGAGGCCUGAGGUUUGAUUCCUGGCCUCCCUCAGUGGGUUAAGGAUCUGACAUUGUUAUGAGCUGUGGUGUAGGCCAAGGCAUGGCUCGGAUCCCACAUUGUUGCAGCUGUGGCAUAGGCCAGCAGCUGCAACUUCAAUUCGCCCCCUAGCCUGGGAACUUUCAUAUGCCCUAAAAAGCAAAAAAUAAAUAAAUAAAAGAUAACAAAGAUCAAAGAAAGAAAAGCAACCUGCCAAGUGUCACACAGAAAAGGGCUGAGCUGGAAUUCAAGCCCAGGGUAUCAAGCUCCGGAAACUUCACUUUUCAACCAUUAUACUUCGUGUUUCAAAGUUCUGGACUAAUCUCACUGCAGGCCUUGAGGGCAGUUUUGAAGGUAGCCUUUCUGCUCCUAGAAUUCCAGCUUCCCACACCAGGAUUUGCUGCUCCCAAAGGCUCAGUGGCAGCCUGCUCCAGCCAUGGCUGUGUGACAGGGCUGCAAUUUCCUGGCAAAAGGAAAAGCAGACCUUUGAUUAAAAUCAAUUUGAAAAACAGCUGGGUAUCUGUUUUGCUGUGAGAAAAUUAGUGGGAGGGGAUUGUCUUCAGGAACCGCAUGUAGGGUGUUAGCACUUCUGAAGCGCUACCUGAUGCACCUGGAGAAUGUUUACAUGGCUUGAGGGAAAGUCACAUUAGGCCUUGCCUGAGUCUGAUGUGAUGAAGUCGAUAGUAGGGGAAACAUGUUUCCCCCUUUAAUCUCUCAUUUCUAUUCCCUGUCAUGCUACAGGUGGCUGCUAAAAGGAGGAGUUCCCGUCGUGGCUCAGCGGAAACAAAUCUGACUAGUAUCCAUGAGGACACAGGUUUGAUUCCUGGCCUUGCUCAGUGGGUUAAGGAUCCAGCGUUGCUGUAAGCUGUGGUGUAGGUCGCGGAUGCAGCUGUGAUCUGGCAUUGCUGUGGCUGUGGUGUAAGAUGGCAGCUGUACCUCCAAUUCCACCCCUAGCCUGGGAACCUCCAUAUGCCACAGGUGCAGCCC